AUUAGUUUGGUUAAUGUGGAGGUAGGUUACGAUUAGAUUUAUCCUUGAUUAAAGAGAUUCAGUCUAGCACUGUAUAGGUAGCAUUUAUAGUUAAAUGCUAAACUGUAAAUGCUAUGGUGUGCUUGGUGAUUGGCUUUCAUAUUAAUUUCUGCUCGGCAUUAGUUUGGAAUUUUUUUAUUUAACUAGUAAUUGAAGCUGUAUUUACGCUGUCGCUUCUACAGCUGUGAGCCUUCUGAAGCCAUGAUAAGAUUGUCGAUAUGAAAAGGCGCCUAUACCCAGGAUUUUCUAGGUGGAGUUUACAAAAGUUAGUAUCAUCAAAAAAUUAAUGUCAAUGACUUGACUUGUUUUGGUUACCUUUCACAUACUCAUCCUAAUUCAAGUCUCUUGCUAUCGCAUAGCAUCAAUGAUUUAACAAUCUUCGUAAGGUAAGCUACAGUUCUGAAAAGGGAUCAGCAUUCGCGCUAAAGUAAAGUAUAUAUAUUCAUUUUCUGUGCAUCUUUUCACAUUAGUAUCACUUUUAAACUGUUCCAGUUUUUGGCUUGGUAGUCAGCACAGAGAAAUUGCAGUAGUACUGUAGUGUACUGUGGCCUUUAAUUGAGUGUGGCAAAGGGUAUUGUUGUAGUCUGCUUGUAGAACUACUUGCCAUAAUGUAUUCUUUGUACAAGACAGGGUCAUUGUUAUUGCUAUUGUUAACAUAAUAGCAAAACAUCACUAUUGCAUGUUCUAUGACUAUAAAGCCAGUCAGCUGUAUACCUGGAGUGCUCCCCAAAUUUUUCAAUUUAUUGGGUUGAAUCGCUAUUGUUCUAUGACUGUAAAGUCAGUCAGCUGCCUAUACCUGGCGUGCUCCCCAAUAUUUUCAAUUUAUUGGGUCGAGUCGCUGUUGUAUGUUCUAUGACUGUAAAGUCGGUCAGCUGGCUAUAGCUGGCGUGCUCCCCGAUUUUUUGAAAUUCAUUGAGUUGAGUCGCUACCAUUCUAUGACUGUAAAAUGCAGGCAAUAAAGUGUCCAGUCAGUCACUGUUUUGGUAACUGAACAGAAAACGCAAGUGCUAACGGAGUCAUGCAGUCAUUUGGAGCUUGAAACGGGUGUGUAGAUAGGCAUCAUGAGUAAACAGACAGAAAGAUGCAACAACAGGUGAUAUAUGGUAGGUAGACUAAACCGAUUACACGGUAGCAGGACAGAUCAAAGUAAAGCCUGCAGGAUGCAACAGUUGGUGAUACAUCAAUCCCUCCUGAUCUCAUAUUGGCCUAGCCAGAAGACAUCUUGCCAAUAACCUAACAUUCUAAUACUCACCAGCUAGCAAUUCCGCAUGAAGAUCAGGGUUAAGAGCAUUCUCAACCGAAUUUUAUGGGCCAGUAGAUGCUCUGACCUCCACUUGGUCUGGCCUGGGUAACCCUAGCAAAAGCAUAAGUUUAGUCAACAUGCAAAUUUGGAACGUGUGUUAAGUAACUUUAGAUUAUUAUGGAUAAAUGAUGCAUGUAGAGGCACACAUGAUUACGAGGAUGAGGGAUACCAGAGAUGAUGAGGGUGAGAGAUGUUGAUCGAGCAGGUGUAGAGGGUGCUGUUGUAGACCUCUGUUGCGGCGACAUCUAAGAAGAAAAGGAGGAAGACAGCGUAGACAAAUAGCUGGGUCUUACUUGACUGAACGGGCUAAUCAAGAACAGUGAUAUGUGUCACCACAGCCAGCUGCAGUUGCAGAGCUGCCACCACAGCAGCUCAACGAACUUUGUGGUGUUCAGUGAAACUUUUGACUAAAUAUUUAAUUAAUGGGUUGCUAGUUAAUUAACCUGAUGUUAAAGUGUAGAAAAUUAAUUAUGGGGUUGAGUGGUAGCUAAUUAACAUGAUGUUAGAGUGUAGUAAAUGGAAUA